GACGAACGCUGGCGGCGUGCUUAACACAUGCAAGUCGAACGGUGAAGCGCCUUCCUUUUUGGUGGGUGUGGAUGAGUGGCGAACGGGUGAGUAACACGUGAGUAACCUGCCCCCUUCUUCUGGAUAACCGCAUGAAAGUGUGGCUAAUACGGGAUAUUCUGGUGCUGUCGCAUGAUGGGUCUGGGAAAGAUAUUGUUUCGGUGGGGGAUGGGCUCGCGGCCUAUCAGCUUGUUGGUGGGGUGAUGGCCUACCAAGGCGGUGACGGGUAGCCGGCCUGAGAGGGUGGACGGGCACAGUGGGAAUGAGACACGGCCCAGACUCCGACGGGAGGCAGCAGUGGGGAAUAGUGCACAAUGGGCGCAAGCCUGAUGCAGCGACGCCGCGGGAGGGAUGGAGGCCUUCGGGUUGUGAACCUCUUUCGCCAGUGAAGCAGGCCUGCCUCGUUUGUGGGUGGGUUGACGGUAGCUGGAGAAGAAGCGCCGGCUAACUACGUG
rnacentral:rRNA from 1 species